ACAUGUGGCAGAACUUGCAAAGAACACGUUAUCAUUUUUUAACCAUAAGAAAGCAAUCUAAUGCAACAAUCCUUUCAACAUAAUAAAUAUUUACUAUGAAUAUCAAUUAAGUAAACCAGAGAACGGGUGAACGUCCCCUUAAAACUUGUGCUGAUUUAUCUAGGCUUUCUUCCUUGCACAAAUAUUCCAGUCGUUGCCUAACCCUCGUCAAAUAACGACAUGUUUUUAUAUUCCUCGAGAUUUAGAAAAUUUUUUUCCCUGCUGAAAUAAUAUUUUUAUUGCGUUUUAUUUAACUAGUACGAUUUGCAAGGUACAUACACAGGGUUAAUCUUACCCGAAAAUUGUGCACUUUUUCAUUGUGUACAUACGUUUCAAUCAUUAAUAACUAAAGACUCAAAGGAUGUACGUUUCACCCCCAACAACCCCUGUCAACUCCCAACUGACCCGACGCCUCCGCAUCUCGGACAACUUCCACCGAUCCAUUUGGUCAAACAAGAUGAAAAUUGGAAUUAUUACAAAAGUUCUCACCGAAGUUCCGGAAGUGUCUCAAUUAACUCGUGAAAUUAAAUUUGACGUCACUCACAAGGAAUUUGUCCCCCCUUUUCUCCAAGGAAUUAGGACGUUGGGGUCCACAAAAAUCCGACAUGUGGACAUCUUCAUCCACGCGCAACACGAUACUGACAACAUAAUUCCAGCCGAGACAUAUCAAAACCUCCCCCCGCAACCUAGCCUGUCCUCCGUCAAGUUCGAAACUCGCUCAAACUGUGUAUUUCGCGGGGAGCUCGAAUUUCAACCCCUAAUCCAAAUUUUGAUCGAUGCUUCCCCUAAUCUGACCGUUUUGGACGUCGCGGCGUCUUUCUAUCCAAAUCUGGAGGGGUGCAGGAAUCUCAAAGUUCUGAGAUUUGAAUUCUUAAAAUGCUAUGCGUAUUGGCCAGACAUCAAUUUGGAAAGUGUGACCAAGAUGCUGGGACAGGUUAAGGAUUGCUUAAUGGAGCUGGAAUUGAGGGAAUGUUAUUCCAGGAAGCAGGUGUUAUUUAACAGCAGAAACACUGAUCAGUACACUAUUAACCAUCUGGCAGAGUCACAUACUUCGUGUUUGUAUUGAUUUGGUACUAAUUUCUUGCCGGAUUGGUACUAAAUUCUUCCUCAGUGGGUACCACAACAUUACUGACCGAUCCAAACUGUUCAUGAAGUUCCCGUCAUGUCGAAACUUACCAGCCUUUCAAUCCAUUCUUUACAUGCGUACGGAAUUCUUGGCUCUUUUGAUGAGAACCACUUCCUAAAUUAAAAACCCUCUCUCUCUACCACGCAUCUGGGAAGGGAUCCUUCAAAACGUGGGAUUUGGAACGGGUCAACGUUUCCGGCGUUCGUUUGCCGAGACAAUCCUCCUUGUUGACUGAAGUCCUUAAGGCUAUGUCCGUUUUGAAAGGAGUUAAAAGUGUCCAGGUUCUGGACACUCUGCUCACGGAGGUCCACUUUUCUCCCUUCAUUGAAGACGUGAUCUUGCACAGUGGAGGAUUUAAAAGUGUCGAAAUCUCGGGAUAUGGGGAUCCGGAAAUGAUGGACCGAAUACGACCCAUUUUUGAAGCCAGCAGGGCCCCCAUGCAUUUCAGGAUCGUGAAUUACACUACAAAGAAGUUAUCUCAUCAAAAUUUCAGACCAGAGCGGAGGAAGUGUCCUGUUUAAAGUGGGUCCCUUCAACUAUUAAAUACCUGAUGGACGCCCAAAAUUUUUUUCACACACGAGAUGAUAAAGCCUAUUAAAGAAUAUUCAAUAGCUUUAGAUAACCAAUUUAAAUAAGUUUGAUUUUAAUAUGAAAUACAUAUAUAUCUUUCAUCUAAAAAAUCUAUAGAUUUUUAAAAUGCUAUCGAAUCUAUGUAUGCUAAAUCUAGAUUGUUAUAUUAG